GAGAGGGAGAGUUAAGAGUCACAAAGGGAGAGAAGAGAGAAGGCAGUAGUUGGGACACUUUGACCUCCUGGUAGCCAUGGAGAUGAAGCUUUUCCAUCUCUAGCAUGGAAUCGAAUUGGAUCAAUCUAUCAUCAAUCCUCGUGGGAUCAACCUUGCACUUACAUAUGCUAUACUACCGAACAGCUCAUGCACUUGUGAGUAUCACAAGUUGAGGAUACAGCUGAAUCAAUUUUGGCACAGCUGAAUUCGACACAACAGUGACCCCUCUAUCGGUAGGAACAACGGGACUGAGGAAGUUCCCAUCUUGGUUGGGUAAAGAUUGUGGAUCGAUUAGUAUCGAUUUCCCACAAACGAAGCCAAACUAUUGUUGCUCAAAAAUGGUCGAACACUUUUGGCCCAACUUAGUGAUGAUAUCACCUUCGGCCUCAUGGGAUCUUCGGCAGAGCAGAUGAUCCGCAAGACAAAGAGAGCUCAAUAAGACCUUUGGCAUUGUUGCGGUAUCAGCGAAGGCUCUAUGAUGCUUAAAUCAAAAUAAAUACGGAGUAAAUAGUGAUAUGGACAGAGUAAUUGCUGAAUUGCCGAAUAUCGUAGUUACCUUGUUUUGGGGACUUGUAUCCUUAUUUAUAGACUCUAGGAGAUGUGCAUCUUGAGUAAAAUUCCAAUGUAGGACUAUGGGCAUUACCUGAGAAGGUGCCACAUGUACCUGUGAGGAAUUCUUAAUGAAGUGCGUCUUUUGCUACGAUCGACAGUCCAGCGUGCCGAAGGCUCACAUUCUGCCGAUGGUGCAUUGAGAAGCGCAAAGUGAUUACCGAUUUUAGCUGGUCCUCUUGUGGGUCCCUUAUUUUGCAUGUCAUCUUCUGAUUGACCAGGUUAGAUAUGGUAUAAACAUUUGUUUAAUGUGCAGUCUCAAUUUUACGCACACCAUUUAUGCA